rnacentral:rRNA from 1 species
AUGAACGCUGGCGGCGUGCCUAAUACAUGCAAGUCGAGCGAACGGACGAGAAGCUUGCUUCUCUGAUGUUAGCGGCGGACGGGUGAGUAACACGUGGAUAACCUACCUAUAAGACUGGGAUAACUUCGGGAAACCGGAGCUAAUACCGGAUAAUAUUUUGAACCGCAUGGUUCAAAAGUGAAAGACGGUCUUGCUGUCACUUAUAGAUGGAUCCGCGCUGCAUUAGCUAGUUGGUAAGGUAACGGCUUACCAAGGCAACGAUGCAUAGCCGACCUGAGAGGGUGAUCGGCCACACUGGAACUGAGACACGGUCCAGACUCCUACGGGAGGCAGCAGUAGGGAAUCUUCCGCAAUGGGCGAAAGCCUGACGGAGCAACGCCGCGUGAGUGAUGAAGGUCUUCGGAUAGUAAAACUCUGUUAUUAGGGAAGAACAUAUGUGUAAGUAACUGUGCACAUCUUGACGGUACCUAAUCAGAAAGCCACGGCUAACUACGUG